rnacentral:lncRNA from 1 species
AACGAUUGUCUUGUUUGUUUUUCAAAAAGCUUUUCAUCUCCAAAUCAUUAUGCAGGUUAUUUCUCAAACCCAUUGAACAUAAUGAUCGGACGUCAUCUCCCAAUUUUGAAUUCUCUGUAUUCGAAGCGGAAGAAGAUGAUGUUGAAGGGAUUCCUGACGAGAUUUCCCGACUUCUUGAGCAAGAAAGAAGAUCACACUCAGCUGCAUCUCGAGAAUCAGCAGAACAGCCAAC